AAAACAUAAAUAGGGGCCAUUCGCUUUCCAAACAAGAUUCUGCUGUUAACAUCUCUUAAGAAUAUCUUCAAAAAUGUUCAAGUGGAUUAUCUGUUUGCUUCUCUUGGCCGUAGUCAUCUGUUCGUCAGCGGACACUCAAGAUGGAAAAUCUGGACAAACUACCCCCUCUUAUCUGCAACACGAUAAUCAGAUAGGAUCGUGUUUGACUGAUCUUAUACGAGUGGUAUGCACAGCCAUCAUGGAGGAAUUGCCCAUGCGAAAACGAAGAAACGAACUGAUAAACAACAUUUUAGGAUUACCACGUGUGCUUCAGGAUAUUGGCAAAUAAUUAAUAUUUACUCUCAUUCGGUAGUUUCAAAUUCUAAUGUAAAUAUUAUUUAUGAAUCUUUAACAUAUUGGUAGCUAAUUCGAUCAAGUUUUACUAAUUAUGAUCCAAUUUCGUGUACAUAUAAUCACGUGCUAAUACAUUAUUAUCAUCUUGUGAAGUUUCAUACUGUAUCUGAAGACAAUAGCAGUAACAGUAACGAAAUUAUUUACGGUAAAAAAAAUCCGAAAUUUGUUUCUAAAACAACGAUAGUUAGCGUUGAAAGUGAAAAAAAAAGUAUUGCAAACCUUCAUGUGUUCAUAAAACUAUGUUAAUAGUUUUGCAAUUUGUCAUUAGUCAAUUGUUACUAUUUAUGUAAUUUCUUGAUAUCUGGAGAAAUAAUUUCUCUGAAUAGUAAAGAAAUUGUUUGUAUAUAAUUAUGUUUGUGUCUGAAAUUAUCUGGAAUAAUCUUAUCAUAAAGUAUCAUCAAAGCAUUUUUAUUUAUUUUAAUGGAUCUCUUCUGU